GGUGGUUCUCAGGUGAUGCAUCCCAGAAAUGGGCUCCUUCCUCUCUGGUUCUGGGUGCAUCACCCAAGAACCACU
rfam:Myotis davidii contig22645, whole genome shotgun sequence.